UACGUAGGGUGCGAGCGUUGUCCGGAAUUAUUGGGCGUAAAGGGCUCGUAGGCGGUUUGUCGCGUCGGGAGUGAAAUCCACUGGCUUAACUGGUGGCUUGCUUUCGAUACGGGCAGACUGGAGGUAUGCAGGGGAGAACGGAAUUCCUGGUGUAGCGGUGAAAUGCGCAGAUAUUAGGAGGAACACCGGUGGCGAAGGCGCCACUCUGGGCCGAAACUGACGCUGAGGAGCGAAAGCAUGGGUAGCAAACAGG
rnacentral:rRNA from 1 species